AAAAUAUUCCUUUUUUUCUUUUAUUCCCUGCGAGCUAGCAGAUGGUUUUGUCGGAGUGAAAAGUUGAUGGCACUUUCCCCAAACAGGACCAGACAACUUAGACAGAGGGCCAGACAAAAGGAAACAAAGAACAAGGAACCGAUGAAAUCUGGAGUGUUUUUCAGGUUUUUAUUUAGACUUCGACUGCAAUCUUGGUAAACCAGACCGCCGACCGAUUUCCGCGAGUAAUCGCUUUCCUGCAACAGCAGCAGUAAAUGGUUGUAAACAAAUUGAAAAUGACUAACGGUCGGGAAAUGUGAUGAGGGUGUCAAUAAAACCAGAGACGUGCCGAAAAAGCCAGACACAACGCAGACGACACAACCAAUACAUUAAAUUGAUUUUGCCAUCUAUACAUACAUUAGGCACGACUAGUAGACUAAACACAAACAAAAUAUUUCACUAGAGUCGUGCAGGAAUACUAAGACAGUUAUACAAGAUUUAUUGAUCAAUUUAUGAAGUGCAUUUCAAACUUCU
rnacentral:misc_RNA from 1 species